AUGGCACUGUCCCUGGGAAUUGUCACCAACCUGGGGACGUGGCACUGUCCCCUGGGAACUGUCACCGUCACGGGGACAUGGCACUGUCCCUGGGAAUUGUCACCAUCAUGGGGAUGUGGCACUGUCCCAGGGAAUUGUCACCAACAUGGGGAUGUGGCACUGUCCCCAGGGUUCUGUCACCGUCAUGGGGACAUGUCAGUGUCCCCGGGGAUCUGUCACCGUCAUGGGGAUGUGUCAGUGUCCCCGGGGAUCUGUCACCAUCAUGAGGAGGUGACACCACCCCUGGGAGAGCUGUCACCCUUUCAAGGGACGUGCCACUACCCUGGGGACUUGUCACCCACCCCAGAGGAUGUGUCACCAUCCUGGGGGAUUUGUCACCCUUCUGGGGGAGGUGUCACCCUUCUGGGGGACCUGUCACCAUCCCAGGAGAUUUGUCACCCUCCUGGGGGAUGUGUCACCCUUCUGGGGGAGGUGUCCCCACUCUGGGGGACCUGUCACCAUCCCAGGAGAUUUGUCACCCUUCUGGGGGAGGUGCCACCACCCUGGGGGACCUCUCGCACUCUUGGGGACCCUGCCACCACCCUGGAAUGUCCCAAACCCCCCUCCCGGUCCCCUCUGUCCCCACAGGAACCUCCUCGGGUGUCCCAGCCCGGUUCUGGUCCCCCGUCAUCUUCGUGGUGCUGGCCCUGCUCGUGCUCUUUGUCACCUACCACAGGACCAAGGACAAAGGGAUCCGGGACCAGGCCACGAGCGGCAGCGACUCCUCAGAUUUGGGAGCUCUGGUCCAGCCUCAGGUCCAUGACCCCAUCCCAAAAAUCCCGGAGCAAACCGAGACCGCCUUGGACCAGCCGGAACCGCCCCAACACCUGGUACUGCUUGGAAAAGGGAAAAUUCCGGGGAAAAAGGGAAAAUUCCAGGGAAAAAGGGAAAAUUCCGGGGAAAAAGGGAAAAUCCUGGGGAAAAACGGGAAAAUUCCGUGGAAAAAGGGAAAAUCCUGGGGAAAAAGGGAAAAUCCUGGGGGAAAAAGGGAAAAUCCUGGGGAAAAAGGGAAAAUUCUGGGGAAAAAGGGAAAAUUCUGUGGGAAAAAGGAAAAUCUUGGGGGAAAAGGGAAAAUUCCAGGGAAAAGGGGAAAAUUCCAGGGAAAAAGGGAAAAUCUUGGGGAAAAAGGGACAAUUCAUGGGCUAA
rnacentral:lncRNA from 1 species